UUGGAUCCAAAUCAGAACACAGGUGUUGAGUAUGGAAGAGUCACUUCAAAAAUCGGAUUCCAUGGAUAUGUGAUCAGUAGUUAAAGGGUUAAAGUCACAUUCGAAAGAAAGGUGACCCUCCUUCUCCUUGCUAAUGUAAUUGGCCAGAGUCCAAGCCAUUGGCCAAGCCAUACAUGAGUGGGGCCACCUGAUUUGAAAAAGGGACCUUAUACACGAACAAAUUGGAUGACCUAGAAGAAAUGUACAAAGACCUAAAAACACACAACCUAUCCAAACGGAAUCAAGAAGAAAUAGAAAGCCGGACCAAACCAGUAACAAAUAAGGUGAUUGAAUCAGUAAUCAGAAACUUCUCGACAAAGAAAAGCCCGGUGCUAUAUGGAUUCACAGUCCCUGGAAACCACCAUUCAACUUUCUUGUCUCCAUGAAUUUGCUACUCUAGAUACCUCAUCUGUCAUGAAUAUAUGCUGAUCAGAAUUACUCAGAAUCUUCUGUCAUGGUUCCAGAAACGUGGGGAAAAACAAAAGACAACACAGAGAUAAAAAUUACAGGUUACCAACAAUUAUUUUUGGAAUUUUUUCAAAGCCAAGACAGACAACACAGCCAGAAGAUGAGAACAGCCAGCUCGUGAUAACAUUUCUCUUCAGUGGAUCAGGAAAGAGUCAAAGAAGGCGAUAUGAUUGUCUACGUGAAAAAUCCCAAAGAAUCAGCAUAUAUUCUGGAACUAAUAAGCAACUACAGCAAGGUCACAGGAUAAAAUGCUAACACACAAAAGUCAAUUGCUUUCCUAUAUAACAGCAAUGAACAACUGGAGUUUGAAACUAGAAUUAUAAUACUAUUUACAAUAGCACUGCAAAAAAACAAGGAAAAUAUUAGGUAUGAGUCUAAGAAAAUGUACAAGAAGUACAUGUGGAAACAACAAAACUGAUGAAAGAAAUCAAGGAUCUAAAUAAAUGAAGAGGUGUUCCAUGUUCAUGGAUUGAAGACUCAAUUUUAUUAAGAUGUCAAAUGCUUCCCCACUUGAUUUAUGGAUUCAGUGCAAUCCCAAUCCAACUCCCUGAGUUUAUGUCCACCGUUGUAGUAUUGGGCUAUGCUCUCAUUUGGGAAGGAAGACACAUUCAGGUGUUUCAAGAUCAAAAAGGAGGAUUAAGAUUUAUUGCUAAAUACCACCCACGAUAGUAAUUAAUUUACACAUUAGAGCUAUCAUAUAAUCCUCAUAACAAUCAUGUGAUGGAAACUCACACACGCUCUCUGACAAAACUUUUUGACUUCACCAAUCCUUCAGAGCUUCUUUGGUCAUGGCUAACAAUUUUCUCCACGCCAAUGGUCAAUUCUUCGCAUUCCUCUUACUUAUAUGGCACCAGUGGCAAUAUUUAACAUACUUUAUCAUUCCCUCGUCCUUCAAGCACUCCUUUUCUUGGCUUCCAGAACACCUCACUGGUUAGUCUUAGUCUCCUUUGCUGCUUCCUCCUCUCCUCUCUGACAUUUCCACGUUGGAGAGUUCCAGGGCUCAAUUCUUCAUCCUCCUCUCUUCUGCAGGGUUACCCUCUCCCUCCUUGGGACUCUUAGAGUUCCAAGGUUUUCAAAGCUCAUCUGUGCUGGAUUCCAAAUUUACAUUUCCAGCUAAGAAACCUCUUCUAAACUCCAAACCUGAAACCAUAUAAGCAACACGUGCUCAACAUCUCCACUUGGAGAUCUAAUAGAUAUCUCCAAUUUAACAUGUCCUAUAAACUGGGUUGCUGAUCUUCCCUCCAAAACCUGCUUUGUCCACAAGCUGAUUACCUGUCUCCAUAUAUGGUGGCUACAUCCUUCCAAUUUCUCAGACCUAGAAUUUGGAGUCAUCCCUGGGGUGACUCUCUGAAUCUCAGUAUCCCAACCCUCUGCCUGUGAGAUUCUAGCCCAUGAGCACUAUGUCCUGUUCUUCCUUCAGUACUGGCUCAAAUCACCUUCUCAAUGAGCCCACCCUGACCCGCCUCACGGACCCUGACCACCCCCAUCACUCUCAAUCCCCC